rnacentral:misc_RNA from 1 species
GAUGAAGAACGCAGCGAAAUGUGAUACGUAAUGUGAAUUGCAGAAUUCAGUGAAUCAUCGAAUCUUUGAACGCAUAUUGCGCUCUUUGGUAUUCCGAAGAGCAUGCUUGUUUGAGUAUCAGUAAACACCUCAAAGACUUCAAUUUGUUUUGAAUGGCUUUGGACUUGAGCAAUCCCAACACCAGUCUUUACGAUCGGUGGAGGGUUGCUUGAAAUGCAGGUGCAGCUGGACAUUCUCCUGAGCUAAAAGCAUAUUUAUUUAGUCCCGUCAAACGGAUUAUUACUUUUGCUGCAGCUAACAUAAAGGGAGUUUGACCGUAUUGGCUGACUGAUGCAGGAUUUCACAAGGGUCGGCAACGAUUCUUGUAAAACUCGAUCUCAAAUCAAGAAAGACUACCCGCUGAACUUAAGCAUAUCAAUAAGCGGAGGA